GGCAAGCAGGUGUUAAGUGGCCAUCAUGAAACUAAGCAUACUUUUGAUAUUAAUGCUUCUAGCAACGAGCUAUUGCAGCGUUAUUAGAACGAAGCGAAGUGUAUUCACAGUUCCACACAGCUCAUGUCCUACGGGAUAUUGUAAAAAACUCGUUGGAGAUCUAACCUUGUGCAGAGUGUGCAAACAGUGAGUAUGAGUGUGUUUGUGUCGUAACAGAAACCUAUUUGUCCUCUGUGAAAUAUAAUAUAUUAUAAUCGAAGAUAAUUAACUGGAGAAAUACACGUAUGAAGCUGAGCUAAAAUAUCAAUCUGAUUAAAGAAGAGGUCAAGAUGUUUGCAUUGAAAAGCAAAAGUCUUUGUGAUGAAGAAAUUUCUGGAUCGUAUGGAGAUGAAAGAUGCUAGCGAACUACUGGAUUGGAUACAAGACGAAUAUGUUACUUAAACCCUGACUUAAACAGAUAACUUAAAAUAGUUUAAGAUAUAUAAAAAACUAUUGUAUUCACAUGGAAAAUUACUUUUAAGAACUUAAUUACAUCAAUGCAAAACAUUGAACGCAUUUACAAAAUAAAUAUUAUAAUAAGA